CGGACCUCAGAUCAGACAAGACCACCCGCUGAGUUUAAGCAUAUCACUAAGCGGAGGAAAAGAAACUAACGAGGAUUUCCCUAGUAACGGCGAGCGAACCGGAAGUAGCCCAGCU
rnacentral:rRNA from 1 species